CUGAAAACCAGAGCUCGUCCGUGGCUUCACUUGUUUUGGACUAAGGAGCUGAGGAGCGUGCAAGACUGUACUUGGAGAAUCUGUUUCUUGCUGCCAUUUCGUCACUGAACACUAUUUUUUUUCUCCUUCUUUUUUUGUAAGAAAAGGAGAACACAUAAAACCCCACCAGAACAAACUCCACUCGGCCCUGAAAGUAUUUACAAUCACGGCCCUGAAAGUACUGAAAGUAUUUACAAUCACGUUACAGUUCAUUCACUGCUGCAGAACCUCUCUCCAGCGAUCAAGGUCGAAGGGAGCCGACGUCGCCCUCUAUCGGCUCCCUGCUGCACUAGAAGGAUCGGGAAGAUGGAGGCUCCUGAAGAGCUGUAGAAGCGCAUCCUAGGCAGAAGCCCAGCAGACAGCAAAGGGCCUGGUUUGUUCAAGGAACUGGAGGGCAAGAAAAUCAGGAGCCAAUUCAUGCAGGGCACAGUUAGCCAAGAUAUUGACUGAGAAUCCUCCAUGUGCCAAGUACUGUUCAAAAACACUGGGAACCCAGCAGGGAUGAGCCACAAGUUUCCUUGUCUUUACGAAGCUUUCAUUCUGAGGGAGUGGAGAGAGACAAGCAAUAAACAACCAAUCAAAACAAAGAUGACUCCUCUGAGUGUUGUGAUAUGCGGGUCAAGGAGGAUGGCUCCCAGGAUGUGACCUCAGAGCAGAAGCCUGGAGGCUUGCCAGCAGCGGGAAGAGCAGCGGCAGGGCACUGCAGGCAGAGGUGACCAAAAGCGUGAAACCUUGAGCUGGGAAGCACGUGGUCUGCUGGAAAGUGGGCUGAUGUAUUUGAAGAGAGCAAGGAGCAGAAUGGUACAAUGGGGUGAUGGGGGAAGAGCCAGGCAGAGCCCAGUGCUGCAAAGCCCGGUAGCACAUACAUGUGUAACGUACCUUGAAGCAAAUGAAUGGCCUGAUCUGGUUUCUGUUUUGGCUGCUCUGUGGUGAUGUGGUGCCUGGGAGGCAAAGAAGCUGGGAAAGAAGCGGUUUUUCUCUUCUAGGUACUUUAAAGCUCUAUAAUAUAUGCUCAGGUGAAAUUUGGCU
rnacentral:lncRNA from 1 species